UCUGCACCAUCUGAACCAUCAGUCACUCUCUGGCCCAGAGAGGUGGUGUUAUUUGCCAAGGACACACAGCAGGUGGCCAAGAUGGAGCCAAGCCAUUUUCCCCACUGCAGGGAGCACGCUAACAAUCCCCCAAAGACCUUUGUCAGAUGAAGAAGCCAGCUCAGGAAAGCUGUAGGAUAAAUAAGAUAAAUAAUAUUUAAUGCAGAUCAAGUUCAAAAUCUAUGCCACCUCCAUGGAAAUAUAAUUCUCCUUCCUACUUCUUGGAAAGGAGGCAGUUUCCACAAAUUCACAUCUUGGCUCACACAGGAACAUUUUUCUGUAUUUUAUCAUGGGCCUUCUAAAAGAGGCUGCUUCCCACCUAUUUGCCUAGUAUGACAUCUCCAUUAGGACUUGGCUGGCUCAAAACAGGACCCCUGUAUACCUUUCCCCUCACCGAGUGAGCUGGAGAACUUUAGACACAGCCAAGGCGUCCAAGCAUCACAGGUUCUGAGGUUUUGCAUGAAGAAGCCUAUGAGUGUGCGAAUCUGGGUACAAAUCCAGGCUCCACCAUCGCCUCACUGUAACAGCAACCCAAAGGGAAUGCAAAUAUGGGAACCACACCGUGCAGAUUCAAGAUUAGCAUCUUGCUGGUGCACAAGGCCCAGUCUCUGCCAGAAUGGCUCACGUGAUCUGAGAGUCCAAGUCCUAAAUGAGAAGGCCAUAUUUUGGCCUCCUCCUUAUUCUCUAGCCCAAUUUUCACCAACAGGAAGAGGAACCAGGAUCAGUCCACUUAGAUGUACUGACUGCAUCAUUUAGUCC
rnacentral:lncRNA from 10 species